GAGAGUGGAAGGGAGAGUGGGAGCGCGCCCGCGAGGGAGGGGGCAGGCGAACAGAGCCCGGGAGAGGCCGUGUGAAGCGCAGGCAGCUCUCCCAGGAAGGAGGGAUGCGAGAGCGCUCGGAAAGAUAGACAAGCCGUGCGGACAGACAGACGCCUGGGAGAGACCCGAAGAGCUCGGAGGACCGCAGAGAUGGGAGACAGAAGGACGAAGAGCGAGAGGCCAUGCAGGAGAAUUGAAUGAGGAUGUGGUGGAAAUCAACACUCCUGCAUCCUUCAAGUCCUUGAUGGUGACAGUGAUCACUGUGAUCCCUCCAGCAAUGUGGUAUUGCUUUUGGUUUACUAUUUUCCUAGGCUUUGAAGAAGUAAGCCGCCAUCUUGUGAGAAGGACUACAGAGAGGACCACAUGGCC